rnacentral:lncRNA from 1 species
CGGUCAUGUUGCAGUCUUCCAUGGCUGCGAAAAUCGGGAGGAAAGGAGAGGUGGUGGUGGAGAAAACAGUUUAAAGAAGUCUUCAUGCCCCGGUGGUGGUGGGGUUAAGGAAGAAGUUCCUUGCCUUUGUGGGAGCUAGGUAAUAGGAAGGGCGACUUCAAUCAUUGAUGUGGCAUUGUAUGAGUCAUGACUUCAAUCAUUGUAUCCAAUUUAAUAUUUUUUUUUUCUUUCUAAAGCGAAGUUCUAAUUUAAUUUAAACUAUGACAAGCAGACUCGAACGUGAUAUAUUAAAAUAUUAGGAUGUGAAAGGGAAGCAUAAAAGCGGAAUACCUCGAUUUCAUUCAUCCAGUCAAAGAAAGCAAACGCAACCGCCUUGAAAGACCAAGAGCGGACCAUCGAGACUUUGGGAAAGAAUUAGGGGAAGAAGGGCCCACGGGUGGCGAAUGGGAAGGUCGAAAAGUUGGAAGGAGGAUAUAACUUGGCUUCUACUUCUCCUUGGUGGAAGAUUUCUUUGAUGGUUUUAAGCAUUUCCAUACAAGGUGUCACAGAACUGUCCUUCAAACAAACCCUCCCCCUUUAUAUUUGCAAACCCAGUUCACAUUGUACCCCAAAUAUUUUAGCACGCGACGUUUGAGACACUUGUAAGAAUAUAUCCCCGGGUAUACUCAAGAUUUCCGCGUUUCUGAGGGUGAUAGGGCAGCCUGCAGGCUGAUUUUACGAGCUGGCAAAGUUUAGAACAACAUUCAGACUCCUGUAGGUACUUCCAUGAAAUUGUGACGCAUCCUAUUUGCAACUGAAAGAUGAGUACGUAUUUUCGAUCUGAGAUUGUCGCGUAUAAAUCACAAUACAUGGAGUUGUGACACAGCAAAAGAGAGAAGAAUAGGAUCCAUGGUCAACAAAAAUGAAUUGUUACCUCUAUAACACCACCAAAAAUAUUGGUGGGUGCAACAAGAUCAUCUUACAAAGGCUAAAUAAUUACAGGGGCUGGAUCUUUACAGGAAGGAUGGAACGAAUGCAGUCUCCACAUCCGAUGCAGUCAGUUCCGGUUGCUGGAAGAUCGGGGUUCCAG